GAGAAAAAAAUAAAGUAAAGACUCCCUUUGAUCAUGAAUGACCCAUAGGAUUGUACCAAGAAAGUUCCUCUCCAAGGCACAAGUCUGGACAAGGUGGU